rnacentral:rRNA from 1 species
AAAUUGAAGAGUUUGAUCAUGGCUCAGAUUGAACGCUGGCGGCAGGCCUAACACAUGCAAGUCGAACGGUAACAGGAAACAGCUUGCUGUUUCGCUGACGAGUGGCGGACGGGUGAGUAAUGUCUGGGAAACUGCCUGAUGGAGGGGGAUAACUACUGGAAACGGUAGCUAAUACCGCAUAACGUCGCAAGACCAAAGAGGGGGACCUUCGGGCCUCUUGCCAUCGGAUGUGCCCAGAUGGGAUUAGCUAGUAGGUGGGGUAACGGCUCACCUAGGCGACGAUCCCUAGCUGGUCUGAGAGGAUGACCAGCCACACUGGAACUGAGACACGGUCCAGACUCCUACGGGAGGCAGCAGUGGGGAAUAUUGCACAAUGGGCGCAAGCCUGAUGCAGCCAUGCCGCGUGUAUGAAGAA